GAUGAACGCUGGCGGCGUGCCUAAUACAUGCAAGUCGAGCGAAUGGAUUAAGAGCUUGCUCUUAUGAAGUUAGCGGCGGACGGGUGAGUAACACAUGGGUAACCUGCCCAUAAGACUGGGAUAACUCCGGGAAACCGGGGCUAAUACCGGAUAACAUUUUGAACCGCAUGGUUCGAAAUUGAAAGGCGGCUUCGGCUGUCACUUAUGGAUGGACCCGCGUCGCAUUAGCUAGUUGGUGAGGUAACGGCUCACCAAGGCAACGAUGCGUAGCCGACCUGAGAGGGUGGUCGGCCACACUGGGACUGAGAUACGGCCCGGACUCCUACGGGAGGCAGCAGUAGGGAAUCUUCCGCAAUGGACGAAAGUCUGACGGAGCAACGCCGCGUGAGUGAUGAAGGCUUUCGGGUCGUAAAACUCUGUUGUUAGGGAAGAACAAGUGCUAGUUGAAUAAGCUGGCACCCUGACGGUACCUAACCAGAAAGCCACGGCUAACUACGUGCCAGCCGCCGCAGUAA
rnacentral:rRNA from 1 species